rnacentral:rRNA from 1 species
UACGUAGGGUGCGAGUGUUGUCCGGAAUUACUGGGCGUAAAGGGCGCGUAGGCGGCACUGUUAGUCAGGCGUGAAAUUCCUGGGCUCAACCUGGGGACUGCGCUUGAUACGGCAGAGCUUGAGGAUGGAAGAGGGUCGCGGAAUUCCCAGUGUAGAGGUGAAAUUCGUAGAUAUUGGGAAGAACACCGGUGGCGAAGGCGGCGACCUGGUCCAUUACUGACGCUGAGGCGCGACAGCGUGGGGAGCAAACAGG